GACGAACGCUGGCGGCGUGCCUAAUACAUGCAAGUCGAACGCAGUGGGGACGGGGGAGUAACACGUGGGUAACCUCCCAUCAGAGGGGAUAACACUUGGAAACAGGUGCUAAACCGAUACUGAUGGAUGGCUCCGCGGUGCAUUAGCUAGUUGGUGGGGUAACGGCUCACCAAGGCCCCGAUGCAUAGCCGACCUGGGAGGGUGAGCGGCCACACUGGAACUGAGAACCGGCCCAGACUCCUACGGGAGGCAGAAGUAGGGAAUCUUCGGCAAUGGACGAAAGUCGGACCGAGCAACGCCGCGUGAGUGAAGAAGGUUUUCGGAUCGUAAACCUCUGUUGUUAGAGAAGCGGUAUCUAACCAGAAAGCCACGGCUAACUACGUGCCAGCAGCCGCGGUAAUUC
rnacentral:rRNA from 1 species